UUCAUCCAAUUCUAAAUAAUGGCCCACUUCCAUUUAAAAAGAACAAAAGCUCCAUACUUUAAUAAAUCCACAAGGCCCCAAAUUUUUAAAACAACCGAGGCCCAAAUAUUAAAAAAAACUAGGAGCCCAUUUAACCACCAUCAUCUACACGCCCUUUUUCUUUCUCUCUCUCCUUAUCUCUCUUUCUCUCUCGACGGAAAAAGGAUUUGCAGAAGCUCAACACCUCCUCCGACUCAAUUCCAGUUCAGAGCCCGCGACUCGCCGGAGGACGUCGCCACCGUCGCUGCAGACCGCACGGAGCUCGCCGCUGUGCCGUCGGGAAGAGCUGUUGCCGACCGCACCGCUGCUCAUCGUCGCCGGGAUCCGCCGCCGUCGCUGCCGGGGACGCGACGCCACUGCUGCCAGCAGCAGCUCUCGGUCAGUCUCCGUCACCCGUCGCCCCGAGUUAGCACGAAACAGACCCGACGCCUCCGACCCUAACCCGAUUCGCCCCGCAAGUUGAGUUCUCAAUUUUGAUUUCAGUUCUUUAAAAGUUCGAUCUUUUAUUCAGUUUUCUUCUAUUAAAACGAUUGAGAGGUGGUUUACAGAUUAAUAGAUGGUAGUGUGUGAUGUAAGGAUGCAGCAGUGUCAAAUCGGAUUUGGUUGGAAGGAGGUGUAUACCUUCACAAUUUGGGACGAGUAGCUGUAAACAAUAGAGAUUAGUAGCGGAGACUAGCAACGGAUUGAAAAGAGUGUGUGGCUUGAAUCUCCGUCUCGGUCCUAUUCGAAAAUUUCAAUGAGUUUGACGAGUUGAUUUAGAAGCAAAACGUGUACAGAGAAGAAGAUGGAGUUUGCAAGAUUACCUUGGAGUGAAGUUGAAGAAUGUAGAUUUGAUUGCCGAGAUGAUAAUGAAAGAGAAUGGGUUUGUGAAGUAUUUAGUCUAGAGUGAGGGUGGUUAAAAGAUAUGGGAGAGAUUUUAGGGGAGAGAGGGGAACGGUUUUUUUUUCUCCAACGUGGGGAAAGAGAGAAUUUUAUAAUCUGCUUUCUUUUCUUUUUUUUUUCAUAUAUGUUGGAUAAAUUUGAAUUUAUCUAGUGUUUAUUUGCAGAUCA